AGGGUGCUGCGUUUGUCCCCAGCCUUCUGGCACACACAAGCUGGAUCCAGGGGCGGUAGCAUUUUUACUGGCCAAUCUGUGUUCACAGCGAGGGUUCUGUGCUGGAAUUCCCAAAUCUUUAAGCAAAUGGCAGAACCAGGCACGAGGGACCUAGCAGAGGGCAGAAAAGUGUAAACCAGGCCAUCAUCGGUGGAUCAGCGGGCACUUCAGAUUUCGCUGGAAAGACGCGCUGGGUUCCGGCUCCGGCUCCGAGGAAUGCAGCUGCUGCCUCUGCACUGGCCUGUUGCUCCUGCGCGGUCCCAGGAGUGGUGGUGCUACGUCAGGGAGGCUCCAGCAGGCUGCAGUGAUAUGUUUUUGUGGUCCUGGCCCCUUGGGAGGCUGAGGCAAGAGGAAUGCUCAAGACAGAAGUUUAAGACCACCUUGGACAACACAGCAAGAGAUCUAGUUUUUUGGAGGAGAUGCUUUGGUUGAUAAAAUUUAUCAUCAGAGCUUUUACUUGAUAUGGGAGACUUGUAUGUAUGCCCGUGUGUGUGGGGGAUGCUGAGCUACAUUGCUGGCCACUGAGUCACUAUCACUGAACUCCUGAGCUGCCUAAGAUCCCUUUCUUUCUUUCUUUCUUUCUUUCUUUCUUUCUUUCUUUCUUUCUUUCUUCUUCAAUUUAAACAAAAAUAUGGAAAACUUCA